UUUCCGUAGGUGAACCUGCGGAAGGAUCAUUAGUGAAUUCAAAUUUCCUCCUUCGGGGGGUGCAGUCAUGGGCCCUCGUGCCUGUGACUGUGGAAUCACAUCCUUAACACCUGUGAACUGUCUGUCAAGAACAAGGCUUCGGCUUUGAUCUUGUACAUUUUACCAAACUUUACUCUGUAAAAAAUGUCAAUCUAUUAUAAACAUAAUAAAACUUUUAACAACGGAUCUCUUGGCUCUCGCAUCGAUGAAGAACGCAGC
rnacentral:misc_RNA from 1 species